CGGGGAUUAGUUCAUCGGUAGAACGCUGCGUUCGGGUCGCAGAGGUAGAGAGUUCAAUUCUCUCAUCCCCGACUA
rnacentral:tRNA from 4 species